rnacentral:lncRNA from 1 species
UCCGUGAACCAGCACCACACAAUUUCCCCAUUAACGAAAAAAGAAAAAACAAGAUUAGUUCCUCUUGUAUGCUUUCAUUAAAGGCCAAUAGCAAUAGCUCUCUCUCCUCUCUCAGUGUCUCUCACACUGAUCUAGCAAUCUCCUAAACCAAUCUGACAUCAUCUCCUCCUACCCACGACAAUUCCAACGAGCAGCAACACUGUUGUCGUCAACCUUAUCCCGGUCAUGACCCAACGAUAACUACCAUUAGUUGGUUCUUUAGCAGAGAUAACCUCACAUUCUUUUCUUCUCUUUUAGACACUAGCCCACACAUGCCAACCAUCGGUAACAACCUCCCCAUCCAAAAAUUAGCAACAUAAUCUCGUAGCUCCAAAACUAUCACCGACCAACGCCUUCUCCUCCUAAACCACAAUGCAAGGCACUCUUCAUGGCAGAUCCACAAUAACCCAACAAUAACAAUCAGAAAAGAGAAGAAGAAAUUACAGUAGAGAAAGAGAGAGGCAGAUCUUAAAAAAAUAAAAAUAAAUAAAAACUACUAUCUUGUGUUGAUUUCUUUGUCUUGCAGGGAGUGGUGAUACUCACCGCCAGUAGGGAAAGGAAGAGGUGAAAGAGUCGCUUCAAAGCCACCAAUUUUUGCUCUUCAAUUAAUGACGACAUGUUGUUCCAUGCACCCACAGUGACGAUGGUGUGAGGAACCCCCAAGCUGCCAAUACUCCCUCAUGUCUAGUGCAUUCCUAUAACUUCUGACAUUUUUUUGUUCAGAAGGUGUUUUGCAAAUUUUGGAUGACUUUGUGUUUUUUUUUUUUUUUUUUUUUUGAUUUACGUGGGGUGUCCGGGCCAGCUUACGCGCACCACGACUAUUCCCCACGGCCCACUGGACAUCCUGCAAGCCCAGGAGCAGGUAAGGCACCGCGGGGGUGACAGGCGUGCACAUAAAGGGUCGAACCCGGGACGGGGGCGGAACAAGUCACACGGUUGACCACAGCAGCUAGACCCUCAAGUGCGACUUUGUGUGUUUUGAUUACAUGUAAUAUGUGUAAUCGUAAGUGUGUGAGAGUUAAUUAGUGAAAGAGAUCAGGUGUGUAUGAUGUAUGGUGCCGCACAUGGAUGUGCGGGGUCGUUUGGAGCCGGAAUCUAAUUGUUUGGUUCAAGGUUGUCAGGUAAUCUAGGUGUACUGGUCUUGUCAGAACUUCGAGGAUAACAGACUAGUUGUGGUUAAGAAAAGUAUUAACACCUCUAACGUACCCUACCUGAAGUAAGUUGCUUUGUGGUUUAGAGGUUUUGAUGGUUUUUUAGUUUUUUUGUAAUUUAGGAUUGAGAUUACUCAUAUGAAUAAAUCUGGUGUUUAAAAAUUUAUAAUAGACUCGUGUACCCAUAUAAAUUCUUAGAAAAAAAUUCUUUGUAAUUUGAGUAUUACGGUGAAAAAUACUCAAUUAAAAUUGAUGAAUAUUUAGAAUAACUAAGAAUUUUCUGUUCAACUCUGAUAUUUUAAAUACCAACCUCACUUAUAGGUCCAACAUUAUAUACUAAGAUUUUUAACCAUUAAUUCUCAUGAAUUAAAAAAUAGUGAUUUAUUGAAAUAUUGGCUAAAUUCUCAUGAAUUUAAUAAACUGAUUAUUAAAUCCUAAAAUGCAUGCAAAUAUGUAUUUUGAAUUUUUAUAUGGAAAUACUACGCAAUAUGAUUUCUUUGUAUUUUUUGAGACACUCGGCCAAAUACAAUACAAAAAAAC